GGGGAUGACCGGUUUUGACAGCGGGUAGAAGUGGUUUGUAAGCAUGUAGUGCGUGGUUGGCUUGCACUUAAAUCUCAGACAACGAACAAUUAACUGGCGAAAAUAAUUACGCUCUCGCUGCUUAAUCGAAGUAUAGUAGAUUCAAGCUUAAUCCCUGCAAAAGUUGCGGGGACGUGACAUCACCCGGAUGCUGUGGCUCCGAAGCGUUCCGAUCAGGUGGUGCAGCAAUAUCGGAGAUAGUUUGAGAUAAGCCUCGGGUCUCAGGCGAAACUUUAGAGGAUAAGGGAUGAGUGGGUGGCUUCGGUCUUGCUCUUCCCCGACAAUGAAGGCGAAGAUAAACAUGUAGAAAGCAAAUUAAUUCCUCGUUUGGACGAGAGUUCGAAUCUCUCCAUCUCCACGG
rfam:Parabacteroides distasonis ATCC 8503, complete genome.